CAGGAGAAGAGGCUGGCCCUGUGGGUACAUGCGACCCUGGUAUGUACGCCACUGUGCUUACAGUGUGCAGCUUAGGUGUGUAUUCUUGCUACGACUGAGGUUUACUGGGGAAGCCUUUUAUAGGGUAAAGGGGAGGGACCUUUCUUAAUUACCUAUCUCUCAGAUGCUUGUCCCAAUUAUGAAGCACAACCCCCCUCCCCCCCAUACGUACUGCC